GUGCUCAUUUUGGAGCACAUACACUAAGAUUAGAGUGAUACACAAAAGAUUAGCAUGGCCCCUAUGCAAGGAUGACACAAAUUCAUGAAGCAUUUCAUGUUUUU